rnacentral:tRNA from 1 species
ACUAAAAUGGCAGAAAAGUGCAUUAGAUUUAAGCUCUAAAAAUGAAAAUUUAAUUUUUUCUUUUAGUU